CCUCUUAUUAAAAUAACUCCAAAACCUUACAGGGUGUACAAAAAUAAUAAAUUAAAAUCCUUAAACUUCUCCUCAAUCACAACCUCAGCUCUUCCAACACCUAUCUUGCCAAAUAACACUUGUCUUGCCAAACAACUCAUCUGUAAAAUAAUAGGCGAGGGGUGAGCAACAACCACCAUCGCUCAGUGAGUAGAAUAUAUAAUAUGCCAGUCAAACUUGCCAUUUUAAUCACACUAUAAAAUAGAAUAAUAAUAUCAAAGCUUUAGCCACAUAAUUCCAUAUCACAUCAUCUCUUUAUGUGUCCAUUAUAUCCUUCAUAAAUUGUAACUCACCACGUGACCCCUACUGGCCUUUCCGCCCUAAUGUCCCCGUGUGCAAUUUACAUUUAUCCCUCGGAUUAAUGCAACAUUAAAGUUCUCAUGCUCCAUGAACAAUUCCAAAUACUCACAUAUCACUAUAUUAAUAAUUCCAAAAUCAUUUCAACAAAUCCAACAUGCUUGACUUAAAAUAUAUAGAGAUUUAUAAAUAGAUAAAACCCACAAUAGUUCGUGGUUUUCAUUUAUCAAAAAAUAAGCAUACUUUAAAACACAUUACAUAAACCACUCACCUCGAUAAUUCAAGCUUUGGCAAGACAACCCAACUAACAUCUCCGCACACCUCAAACUAGCUUUCCCCUUUUCUUUUCUUUCUAAGCUCUCACUCUAACAUAUAUAUAAGUAUAUACGCACACCACAUAUAUAUAUAUAUAUAUAUAUAUAUAUAUAUAUAUAUAUAUAUAUAUACACGUAUUGCAUGCUCUGCAUGUUUCCUUCUUUUUAUGCUCC
rnacentral:lncRNA from 1 species